GUGGGGAAUCUUGCGCAAUGGGGGCAACCCUGACGCAGCGACGCCGCGUGGAGGACGAAGUCUUUCGGGAUGUAAACUCCUGUCAGUGGGGACGAUAAUGACGGUACCCACAGAGGAAGCACCGGCUAACUCCGUGCCAGCAGCCGCGGUAAGACGGAGGGUGCAAGCGUUGUUCGGAAUUACUGGGCGUAAAGCGUACGUAGGCGGCAAGUUAAGUUCAAUGUUAAAGCCCACGGCUCAACCGAGGAGAUGCAUUGAAUACUGGCUAGCUAGAGGGUGUUAGAGGAAGACGGAAUUCCCAGUGUAGCGGUGAAAUGCGUAGAUAUUGGGAGGAACAUCGGUAGCGAAAGCGGUCUUCUGGGACACACCUGACGCUGAGGUACGAAAGCGUGGGGAGCAAACGGGAUUAGAUACCCUUGUAGUCC
rnacentral:rRNA from 1 species